GGCGGCGCACGCAGUUGCAGCGGCCCGUUGCUCUCUCGGUCGGUGCUAUGUUAUGUUUGGCUGCUUGUGUACGUGUUGAUUUGUGUUCCGUCAUGUCGGACAAACAAAAUAUACAGUCGGGACGAUCUCCUGACGAUCGGUGCCCGCUACGAACGAGAUGUUACAGCUGAUUUUCAACUUGUUCAAUAUUCCGGGGGACAUAGCGAGGAGCCCCGGCGCGCCGUGGAUUACCAUCGCAGCAGGGAGGAAGCGACGGCGGCGUAGAGAGAGAAGGCAGAAGCGGGGCUGCAGGCCCGGCCUGCUAGCUAGGCUACGGAGGCAACCACACAAACCACCGCUCCCCAGCCUGUUUCUCUCCAACGCCAGAUCCCUUGCAAACAAGAUGGAUGAACUGAGACUACAGGCUGCAUCUCACAGCGCAGCGAAGGACAGCUGUAUUCUUCUGAUCACGGAGACCUGGCUGCAUCCAGACGUAGCGGACUCUGCCAUCGAGCUAGCAGGCUACACAGUACAGCGCCGCGACAGAACGAAGGACUCCGGUAAGAGCAGAGGAGGAGGGCUCUGUGUGUACCUGAACAACACCUGGUUACUAACACAGCGACUGUCAUCAGCCAUUGCUCCCCAGACCUGGAGUAUGUGACUGUUAGAUGCAGACCAAUAUACCUCCCCAGAGAGUUCACCGUAGUCAUGGUAACCGCUGUUUACAUACCACCGGAUGCUAAUGCUAAAACAGCUAUUGGACUUUUGCAUGGCAGCAUUAGCCAUCUGCAGAGCAUCUGUAAAUGCCCAUUCCAUUGUUUGUGCUGUUUGUGGGUUGCUACCCAUGGUGCCCACUGGGGGCGCUGUGGGUUGGUUCACUCUGAGUUGGUGCCUUCAUUUGAGGUGGAGAAUGAGAGGAAGUGUUGCUAGUCGGUCAGAGCUUUGGGCGGGAAUAUCCCACGGACAGGAGGAGGAGGAUGUUCUUCAUCUUUGUGACUCUGGGUUAGCGCACUUUCUUCAAAGAAGGCUAGAGGCAGCACUGCACGGACUUUGCCGCCGUGGACUUUGCAGCCCUUGGACAGCGGAGCGAGUUUUCACGGUGUAUUUGGAGCACGGUAUAUUUCAGUGCUAUUCAGCAAACUUGGCUGUGAAAGAAGCAAAUACAAAGCUACUACACCCGUCGAA